rnacentral:rRNA from 1 species
GCAAGUCGAACGAGAAAUCUCCGCUUCGGUGGGGAGAGUAAAGUGGCGCACGGGUGCGUAAAGCGUGGAUAAUCUACCGUUGAAUCGGGGAUAACACCGAGAAAGUGGUGAUAAUACCCGAUGACAUUCAUAUCACCUCGGUGUUUUGAAUCAAAGACGGCCUCUUCUUGAAAGCCGUUGUUUGGGGAUGAGUCCGCGUACCAUUAGCUUGUUGGUGAGGUAACGGCUCACCAAGGCUACGAUGGGUAGCUGGUCUGAGAGGAUGAUC